rnacentral:rRNA from 1 species
UACGGCUCAGUAACACGUGGACAACCUACCCUACAGAAGGGGAUAACCCCGGGAAACUGGGGAUAAUACCCUAUAGACUAUGGAUGCUGGAAUGCUCUGUAGCCGAAAGGUCCGCCGCUGUAGGAUGGGUCUGCGGCCGAUUAGGUUGUUGUUGGGGUAACGGCCCAACAAGCCUGUAAUCGGUACGGGUUGUGGGAGCAAGAGCCCGGAGAUGGAUUCUGAGACACGAAUCCAGGCCCUACGGGGCGCAGCAGGCGCGAAAACUUUGCAAUGCGGGAAACCGUGACAAGGGAACUCUGAGUGCCCGUAAAAUCGGGCUGUCCAUCGGUUUAAAUAACCGGUGAAGAAAGGGCCGGGCAAGACCGGUGCCAGCCGCCGCGGUAAUACCGGCGGCUCGAGUGGUGGCCACUAUUACUGGGCUUAAAGCGUUCGUAGCUGGUUUGUUAAGUCUCUGGGGAAAUCUUCCGGCUUAACCGGAAGGCGUCUCAGGGAUACUGGCAGACUAGGGACCGGGAGAGGUGAGAGGUACUCCAGGGGUAGGAGUGAAAUCCUGUAAUCCUUGGGGGACCACCUGUGGCGAAGGCGUCUCACCAGAACGGCUCCGACAGUGAGGGACGAAAGCUGGGGGAGCAAACCGGAUUAGAUACCCGGGUAGUCCCAGCUGUAAACGAUGCGCGUUAGGUGUAUCAGCGACCACGAGUCGCUGAGGUGCCGAAGAGAAAUCGUGAAACGUGCCGCCUGGGAAGUACGGUCGCAAGGCUGGAACUUAAAGGAAUUGGCGGGGGAGCACA